rnacentral:lncRNA from 1 species
UAUAUUGUUGUUUGCCCUGCUAAUGUCUACCAUACUUGGAUCAUUAUUGUUGGAAAGUUGAGGCUCAACAAACCAACCAUUAUAACGAUUACCGCGCCUAUCAAAGGAUAAUGUGUAUGCGCUAUAGUACGGAAUUCUGUUAGUUGUGUCAUAUUCAGUAGCGUAAUAAUAUUGGUUUCCAAGUCGUUGACAGAUUUGGGUUGAACCGACCAGUCCUUUCAAUGUUGGUGAA